GCCUGGCUGGCUCAGUCGAUAGAGCAUAAGACUCUUGAUCUCAGCGUCGUGGAUUCAAGCUUCACGUUGAGUA
rnacentral:tRNA from 1 species